CACGUAGGGAGCAAGCGUUGUCCGGAAUUAUUGGGCGUAAAGCGCGCGCAGGCGGCCUUGUAAGUCUGUCGUUUAAACUCGGAGCUCAACUUCGAGUCGCGAUGGAAACUGCAAAGCUUGAGUGCAGAAGAGGAAAGUGGAAUUCCACGUGUAGCGGUGAAAUGCGUAGAGAUGUGGAGGAACACCAGUGGCGAAGGCGACUUUCUGGGCUGUAACUGACGCUGAGGCGCGAAAGCGUGGGGAGCAAACAGG
rnacentral:rRNA from 1 species